CUGUCAUUCUGAAUCUUUCUGACACACUGUAGAGCUCAUCCAGAAACUCUGCUCUGUUUAGGCCCCAUUUUUGAAAUGUAUGAGAUGCCCCACUUUGUUAUAGUUGAAGGAACUUGUGUUGACAGAGACAAGAAACAUCACCAGUGAAUUUGGCUACCUGCACCAGGGUCGUCCUUAUGUGUGCAUGUGUUGCAUGCCUUGCAAAUAGCCGGAUGCCUGCAGGUUUUUUUGUUUUUCCUUUUAUGUUAUCUUAACUGAACCCCUUGGACCCCCAAGCUCCUAUACACCUUCAGUUGUAACAUUUUAUUUUACUGGGAACUUGAAAGAUUGUAAAAGCACAUUUCAGUUUGAUUACCCCCUGAAGAGGCUUCUGUUUACUAUCCGAGUAGUUGACAUUUGGCAUUCCCUGUAGAUGUACACAUGUUUUAUGUAGGUUGGGGCUGGUUCGUCAGCAUUUUGCUGCCAGUAUCUUUACUUUUACUCAAGUAUGACUUUUGGAUUCUUUAAUUCAACUCUGCUAAAUACGAAAUACAAGGCGUGAUCAAUAUUGGCACAAAUCAUUCCUUCUGUUGCUGCCGAUGUGACUCAAACAUAAAGUACUUUCGGCAGUAUUGUGUGGUAAUCUGUAUUUUGUGUAACCUUCACUAUGACAGUCUCACAAAGCUGCAGACAAACAGCCUAAUUGCUGUUGGCCAGUCCUCACAGUCGACAUGGUUUCCUUCAUCUGCAUCUCUGCCGAGGGUUUAAUGUCUGGCAGCAGUCCAGCGCUCUGAGAGUGUGCUGAAACCAAAAUAUCUGCUGGAACAGGCGACUCGCAGAGGAGAGCUGAACCCCGCAGCACACUGCAAACCAGAGCGUGUAGGCGUCCAUUAGGCAAACUCAUAUGCAACAAUAUGCAGAUUCCUCCAUUUGCACGGAUCAUAAACUCCCGCAGGCCUUCUGCUACAUCAUCAUCAUCAUCAUCAUCGCCACCAUCAUCUCCAUCAGCAGCUGCCAGCGGCGGCGAGCUGAGCAUCACGGGAAGUAAAUUUGUGCCCCGAUUCACUCAGCGACGCUUCCAUUAGUUUUUACCUGCGGUGCGAGAGUCAGUGAAGGCAUCAUGCCGACAUUUACAUCCCUGCAACGGGAAGAAGCAGCGUGAGGUCAUCAUCCACAACAUGCUGACAUCACAUGGCUGAUCUAAAUUUAAUAAAUCUUUUUAAGAAGCCUU